GGAUGAACGCUAGCGGCAGGCUUAACACAUGCAAGUCGAGGGGUAUAGUUCUUCGGAAUUAGAGACCGGCGCACGGGUGCGUAACGCGUAUGCAAUCUACCUUUCACAAAGGGAUAGCCCAGAGAAAUUUGGAUUAAUACCUUAUAGUAAUACGACUUGGCAUCAAGAUGUAUUUAAAGAUUUAUCGGUGAAAGAUGAGCAUGCGUCCCAUUAGCUUGUUGGUAAGGUAACGGCUUACCAAGGCAACGAUGGGUAGGGGUCCUGAGAGGGAGAUCCCCCACACUGGUACUGAGACACGGACCAGACUCCUACGGGAGGCAGCAGUGAGGAAUAUUGGACAAUGGGCGCAAGCCUGAUCCAGCCAUGCCGCGUGCAGGAUGACGGUCCUAUGGAUUGUAAACUGCUUUUGUACAGGAAGAAACCCUUUCACGUGUGGAAGAUUGACGGUACUGUAAGAAUAAGGAUCGGCUAACUCCGUG
rnacentral:rRNA from 1 species